rnacentral:rRNA from 1 species
CUACGGGAGGCUGCAGUGAGGAAUAUUGGACAAUGGGCGAAAGCCUGAUCCAGCAAUGCCGCGUGAGUGAAGAAGGCCUUAGGGUUGUAAAGCUCUUUCAGCAGAGAAGAUAAUGACGGUAUCUGCAGAAGAAGCUCCGGCUAACUCCGUGCCAGCAGCCGCGGUAAUACGGAGGGAGCUAGCGUUGUUCGGAAUCAUUGGGCGUAAAGCGCGCGUAGGCGGUUUAUCAAGUUGGGAGUGAAAUCCCGGGGCUUAACCCCGGAAUUGCUCUCAAAACUGGUUUACUAGAGAAUGGUAGGGGAUGGUGGAAUUCCUAGUGUAGAGGUGAAAUUCGUAGAUAUUAGGAGGAACACCGGUGGCGAAGGCGGCCAUCUGGGCCAUUUCUGACGCUGAGGCGCGAAAGCGUGGGUAGCAAACAGGAUUAGAUACCCCGGUAGUC